rnacentral:misc_RNA from 1 species
AAAAGCUAGAAAGAGAUAAGGCUCUGUAUUUAGAGGUUAAAAACGCGAAAAGUAAGCUAAAGAAGAAGCCGUCAAUAACAAAGCUGCCAGCCUCUUCUUCUCCAUCCCCCUCACCCACAUCUUCAGCAAGCCCAUCAAGACAGGCCUCUUUAGAGAGCAUAAGAACAAGGGCAAGGGCGCAUUUAGCCUCAAAUUCUUCUAGGUCUCCCUCAGUAUCGCCUGUAAGGACCACUUUCAACAAUAAAAACGCAGAAACGAAGAAAAGCGUGGUGUCUCCGGAGAAAAGAAAACUGAUCAACGGCAGAAGGCCUAGAUCCUCAUCUUUGCAAUCCUAUACAAACAAACAACAAACCUCAUAUUUGAAUUCUACAAGACAUCCGUCAAUAGCUCCACCUUCAAAGCUCAACAAUCAAAGGUCCAAUUCUUUGCAGUCCUCAACCAUGACGUUAAAUCAAAAAAUCGUCCAAGAUACAGUGCGGCAUUUGAUGAACAAAAGUGCAUCUACACCCAAUCCUUCUGCAUCUUCAUCGUUAGCGCCUUCACCAAAAGUAUCCAGUAUAAACAACACCUCCUCAGGAAAAUCAUCAAGUACCCUGAUUGCCAAUAGUAGUGAUACUUUGGCUAUAGAGACAUUAACUCUAGAUCCCCGGGUAC